GACGAACGCUGGCGGCGUGCCUAAUACAUGCAAGUAGAACGCUGAAGGAGGAGCUUGCUUCUCCGGAUGAGUUGCGAACGGGUGAGUAACGCGUAGGUAACCUGCCUGGUAGCGGGGGAUAACUAUUGGAAACGAUAGCUAAUACCGCAUAACAGUAGAUGUUGCAUGACAUUUGCUUAAAAUGUGCAAUUUCGUCACUACCAGAUGGACCUGCGUUGUAUUAGCUAGUUGGUGGGUUAACGGCUCACCAAGGCGACGAUACAUAGCCGACCUGAGAGGGGGAUCGGCCACACUGGGACUGGAGCAAGGGCCAGAAUCCUACGGGAGGGAGCAGGAGGGGAUCUUUGGCAAAAGAGGGAAGUCUGAACGAGGAACGACGGGGGAGUGAAGGAGGUUUUCGGGUCGGAAAGGUCUGUUGUAAGAGAAGAACGAGUGUGAGAGUGGAACGUUCACACUGUGACGGUACCUUAAGAAUAAGGGCCGGCUAACUACGUG
rnacentral:rRNA from 1 species